GCGCUGCAACAACCCACUACCGAUAACCAGAAACAGCUGAUAAAACCGGCAGAUUUGCGAAAUUAAAUCCUUGGAGAAUUGAUUUCAUUAUGUCCGAUUCGGGUGCGGAAAAUGCGGAUAAAGGGGCAGAAAAUGAGCUGCCGGAGAAAGUGGAGCCCGUCAAGCUGCUGGAAACCAGCGCCGAUCCCGCACCACAGGAGGAAGAGGAUGUGGAGGAGUAUUUAAAGAGCAAAAACAUAAUCCUGCUCGACUACGAAAAACAAAUGUUUCUCGAUUUGGUCGAGGCCGAUGGUCUUCUGGUUUGCGCCAAGGGUCUGAACUACGACCGCGUUGUAAUCAGUAUCCUUAAGGCCUACAGCGAUUCUGGUAAUCUGGUGCUUGUGAUCAACAGUUCCGACUGGGAGGAGCAGUAUUACAAAUCCAAAAUGGAACCGAAAUACGUCCACGAAGUGGCCAACACGGCCAACGAAAGAGAGCGCGUAUAUCUGGAAGGCGGACUGCAGUUCAUCAGCACGCGCAUCCUGGUGGUGGAUCUGUUGAAGCAGCGAAUUCCCAUCGAGCUGAUCAGCGGAAUCAUUGUGAUGCGGGCGCACACCAUAAUCGAAAGUUGCCAGGAGGCAUUCGCCUUGCGAUUGUACCGUCAGAAGAACAAAACAGGAUUCGUGAAGGCUUUCUCCAGCAGCCCGGAGGCCUUCACCAUUGGAUACUCGCAUGUGGAGCGGACCAUGCGCAAUCUGUUCGUAAAGCAAUUGUAUAUCUGGCCCCGAUUCCAUGAGAGCGUGCGUGCCGUCUUGCAGCCAUGGAAGAUACAAUCAAUCGAGAUGCAUGUUCCAAUUAGCCAGAGCAUAACAUCCAUUCAAUCGCACAUUCUAGAGAUAAUGAACUUUCUGGUGCAGGAGAUCAAGCGAAUCAAUCGUACUGUGGACAUGGAGGCCGUCACCGUGGAGAACUGUGUGACCAAAACGUUCCACAAGAUCCUGCAGGCGCAGCUGGAUUGCAUCUGGCAUCAGCUUAAUUCCCAGACAAAGCUAAUAGUAGCGGAUCUUAAGAUCCUGCGCAGUUUAAUGAUCUCCACCAUGUACCACGAUGCUGUGAGCGCCUAUGCCUUUAUGAAACGCUAUCGGAGCACGGAGUACGCCCUGAGCAACUCGGGAUGGACUUUACUAGACGCCGCCGAACAGAUCUUCAAGUUAUCCAGGCAGCGUGUCGUCAACGGGCAGCAGGAGUUCGAACCGGAGCCGUGUCCCAAAUGGCAAACUCUUACGGAUCUGCUCACCAAGGAAAUACCCGGUGAUAUGCAACGGAGCAGGCGAUCGGAGCAACCGAAAGUUCUGAUCCUAUGCCAGGACGCACGUACAUGUCAUCAGUUGAAACAGUAUCUCACGCAAGGCGGCCCACGUUUUCUGCUCCAGCAGGCAUUGCAUCAUGAAGUGCCGGUGGGCAAACUCAGUGACAACUACGCCAAAGAGAGCCAAACUAGGGGAGCAACUCCAAAGGAUGUUUCCUCCAACAAGGAUACCCGUAAGGAAGAGGUUUCUGGUUCUCAGCCACCUCCAGCUGGUAUGGAUGAACUGGCCCAGCUAUUAAGCGAAUCGGAAACGGAGGGCCAGCACUUCGAGGAGAGUUACAUGCUUACCAUGACGCAGCCCGUGGAAAUCGAGCCUGCAAUAGACAUUAAACCCGAUCCGGAUGUGUCCAUUUUUGAGACCAUACCGGAACUAGAACAAUUUGAUGUCACUGCGGCACUGGCCAGUGUGCCCCAUCAGCCCUACAUUUGCUUGCAGACCUUCAAAACGGAGAGGGAGGGUUCCAUGGCACUGGAGCGCAUGCUAGAGCAACUGCAGCCGCACUAUGUGGUCAUGUACAACAUGAACGUGACGGUCAUUCGGCAAUUGGAGGUCUUCGAAGCCAGGCGUCGUCUGCCGCCUGCAGAACGCAUGAAAGUGUAUUUCCUGAUCCAUGCACGCACAGUGGAGGAGCAAGCCUAUCUGACCAGCUUGCGUCGCGAAAAGGCAGCCUUCGAGUUAAUCAUCGACACUAAAAGUAAAAUGGUGAUUCCAAAGUAUCAGGAUGGAAAGACAGAUGAAGCGUUUUUGUUAUUUAAGAAUUACGACGAUGAAUUGACGGACGAGAAUGCCAAGAGUCGUCAAGCAGGUGGGCAAGCUCCUGAGGCGCCCAAGGAGACGCCAAAAGUGAUUGUGGAUAUGCGCGAGUUCCGCUCAGAUCUGCCCUGUUUGAUUCACAAGCGUGGUCUUGAAGUAUUGCCCUUGACCAUUACGAUUGGCGAUUAUAUACUCACACCAGAAAUUUGUGUGGAGCGAAAGUCCAUUUCCGAUUUGAUUGGGUCUCUGAACUCGGGAAGAUUGUACAACCAAUGCGUGCAGAUGCAGCGACAUUAUGCCAAGCCCAUCCUUCUGAUCGAGUUCGAUCAGAAUAAGCCCUUUCAUCUUCAGGGCAAAUUCAUGUUAUCCCAGCAGACCAGCAUGGCCAACGCAGAUAUUGUACAGAAACUACAGCUCCUCACGUUGCAUUUUCCCAAGCUGCGACUCAUUUGGUCGCCUAGUCCGUAUGCCACUGCCCAGCUCUUUGAGGAGCUGAAGCUGGGAAAACCGGAACCAGAUCCCCAAACGGCGGCGGCCUUGGGCAGCGACGAGCCAACGGCGGGCGAGCAACUGCGCUUCAACAGCGGCAUCUACGAUUUUCUCCUAAGGCUGCCCGGCGUUCACACGCGGAAUAUACACGGAUUGCUCCGGAAGGGCGGCAGCCUGCGGCAAUUGUUGCUGCGCAGCCAAAAGGAGCUGGAGGAGCUGCUGCAGUCGCAGGAGAGCGCCAAGCUGCUCUACGAUAUCCUGCAUGUGGCCCAUCUGCCGGAGAAGGACGAGGUGGUCGGCUCGACGGCGCUGCUGGCAGCUAGCAAGCAAUUUGGCGCCGGAUCGCACAAUCGCUUCAGAAUGGCGGCAGCCGCAUCGAGAAGGGGUCGCCGAUGAGGAUCCAGGGGAUGGACAGACUUUAAAAGUACAAACAUAUAAUUUUCCAGAGCCGGGCUGCGGAAUAUAACCAUGAGGAGGAGGAGGAAUGGCAGGAGGAGCAGGACAACCAGAACUCGCGGCUCUGAAGAGCCGAGCACACAAACAGCGCAAAAUUAUGGAAAUUUUUUAAACGUUGCAAUUAAGUCGACUUGGGAAUGGGCUGCGGCAUGUGGAUGUGGAUGCGGAUGCAGAUGGGGGACUUCCCUUCGACAGAACACCUGCAGCAUUAACAGCAGACAGAGCAUGUGCUACAAGCAGCUAUAAACGGAAUUUUGUAUCCACCUGCAGAUAGCAGCGAACCAUUGAAGUCUAUAAAAGAAAUUCUCUUAAUGUCCAUAAAUAUUAAGUAA
rnacentral:misc_RNA from 1 species